rnacentral:tRNA from 4 species
GCACCCAUAGCUCAGCUGGAUAGAGCGCUGCCCUCCGAAGGCAGAGGUCAGAGGUUCAAAUCCUCUUGGGUGCGCCA